GAUGAAGAACGUAGCGAAAUGCGAUAAGUAAUGUGAAUUGCAGAAUUCAGUGAAUCAUCGAAUCUUUGAACGCACCUUGCGCCCUUUGGCCAUUCCGAAGGGCAUGCCUGUUUGAGUAUCAUGAACACCUCAACUCUCAUGGCUCGCCAUGAUGAGCUUGGACUUUGGGGGUCUUGCUGGCCUGUGGUCGGCUCCUCUCAAAUGGAUCAGCUUGCCAGUGUUUGGUGGCAUCACAGGUGUGAUAACUAUCUGCGCUUGUGGUUUUCCAUCAGAUAACCUUCAGUGAUGGAGGUUCGCUGGAGCUCAUAAACGUCUCCCCUAAGCGGGGACAGCCCUUUGAAUGUUUGAUCUCAAAUCAGGUAGGACUACCCGCUGAACUUAAGCAUAUCAAUGAGCGGAGGA
rnacentral:misc_RNA from 1 species